AGAGACAGCAGUCGCCACGGUAAUACGUAUGUCACAAGCGUUAUCCGGAUUUAUUGGGCGUAAAGCGCGUCUAGGUGGUUAUGUAAGUCUGAUGUGAAAAUGCAGGGCUCAACUCUGUAUUGCGUUGGAAACUGUGUAACUAGAGUACUGGAGAGGUAAGCGGAACUACAAGUGUAGAGGUGAAAUUCGUAGAUAUUUGUAGGAAUGCCGAUGGGGAAGCCAGCUUACUGGACAGAUACUGACGCUGAAGCGCGAAAGCGUGGGUAGCAAACAGGAUUAGAUACCCCGGUAGUCCCUGUCUCUUAUACA
rnacentral:rRNA from 1 species